GACAGUGGGGGCUUAAUGGUUAAGGCUCUGGGUUACUGAUUGAAAGGUCGGGGGUUCAAGUCCCAGCACUGCCA